ensembl:lncRNA
CACUUCUAAAAUCUUGUGGAAAGCUUUCUCAGAAGAGAGGAGUCUGUUAUAGGAACAACUCAAUAAUAAAGAUGCUGGUUUUAGAAUGGGAUAUUCAAUACUCAUGUGUCCACAUACUUUUGCCCAUAUAGUAUAAAUAUAACAACUUUGGUAAUGACUUUUUGUGACUUCCAACACUGUAAUAAUAUUUAAAUGUCCUUUGUUCCACAUUGAGAACCCCUGUUAAAGCCAAUCAAUUUAAUUCAGUUCAGUUCAAUUUUAUUUGUUUUAUGCUUCUUCAAAUACAGUUUCAUAUCUCUUAAGUGACAUUGCCAAUGAAAAACUGCCUGAGACUAUGUUAUUAUAGCUGUUCUGACUGAAGAAUGUUUGGUAUGAUCACGUUGUGAGCAAGUCCUGGGAUGAAAAUAUGGAUUGUCUCUUUAAGACUACAGCUGUAGUUCUCAGAGACAAUAAACACUUGACAUUUGUGGAUGUAAUUGAUAUGAUUGAGUAUAGAUAACCAUGAUCUAAAAUCUUACCAGAUCUGAGGUAAGUGAGUGCCAUCUUUAACUGUUCCUCCAGCUCUUUUUCACAUCUACAAUGCAGGAUAAAAACACAUUUUGCUAAAGAACAUUUCGCAGUGUCAUGCUGUACGGACAUCAAAACCAGGAUAAACCUGGCUAAUUAACUAAUUAAAAACAUGCCACAUCUUCAGCUGUACACAAUGACAGCAGGACAGGUAGAGCUGGAACAGGAAUGAGGAAGACAUGAAACAAGAAUCUGUGGUAUGUAGCAAACUUCAGCAGAAUUCAAACUGAAAACAGAGCCAACUUACUAUUACUCGGAAACAUUCUUUGUGGAGUAAUAAAUUCUAAUGCUGCGUGUACAUCAACAAGCUACUUGUAGAACCGGUUCCCCUAAAUUAAAGAUUAAAGAUUCAUUUACAAGAAACUGCUGAAAGACAAAAACAAAGCACAGACUAUAAGAUGUCAUGCUGCUUAUUGCUGUCCUGGUGCUGGUUUACGUCAGCAGGUCGCCGUGGAUGUGCCGGUUGGCCAGAGGGACGUUGCUGGUAAAAACUAACACACAUUUUUGGUGCUCAGACUGGCUUUAAAAAUACUGCAAAAUACUAAAUAGUUCUUCCAACUUUCUGGGUUUUUGGGUGCUGGGUCAAACUGAGUUAUUAAUGAGCAAGCCAGCAUACUAACAAUAAAGACUUCCACAUUUACUUUAACUACAAUAAGGAUGAAGAAGCUUGAACAAGCUUUAUAGAUCUAAAGCUUGAUCUAAAGUAAAACUCCCCCUAGCCUAUAUAAAAGCACCAUCACAAAUAAAAGUGUUUAGUGUAGAAUAACAGAAAUAACCUUCAGACUAAGAAUACAUUACAUUUGUGUAAAACGGUAAAUAUAAAUGAAAGGUUUCGAUUAAAAUAUGAAAGAUUAUUCAAGGUUAAAAUAUGGAACAUUCCAUAAGCAGCAGAAAUGAUGUCUAGAUGAUUCCUACCUUACGCUCUCACUGUUGUUGAGGAAAUGAAAUAUGAGC